AAGCACUCUUUUAACGUCAUUAGCUUGACCCGGUAAAGCCCAAACACCCAUCAGUAGGUGUUGAAAUUUUAUGUUCGUGUUCCUCCUUCCUUCAUGACACCAACAACAUCUCGGAAAUUCCUUUGUCACCAACUGUAAGAGCUCUGUUUGCUUUGAUAGUCUUGACAACCCAUNACCUAAUUUUGAAUUUCAUUGAUGUGCCAGGUUAGGGUUUGUCACUUUUCACAUCAGGGUGUUGGUGAACCAAUUCUCCUUCCUUAUCUGCCUCCUGAUGAUCUUGUGCGCCUAGU
rnacentral:lncRNA from 1 species